UAUGAUACCUAUGGCUGCGCACCCCCUCCCCCCAUACGCUCAGCCAAUACUUUGUACGCGCCUGCAAGCUAUUCCAAACCCCCUUUUCCUUACACAACCAUUGAACCAAAAGUUCACGGUCUUUAUUAUGCUUACCAGAGAUAACACGCAAAACAAUGAACGCGCACGUUCCUAGCCGAGAUUGGGAGACUAUAAAUUAUCUAACAACUGACUCAGUCUUCCGUUCUUGCUCAUUGACUUUUAAUUGCGUGAUGACGUAUAAAGCAACAAACACUAAAUAAAAUAAGUUGCUAAGGACCUAAAAACUUUCUAUUUUUAUGAUCUGUCACCUCUUGCCUACACAACUCGAACACAAAAGUCGGACCGCCAUCUUGGAUUUCUCCGACAAUCUCACACUUUACGAAGGUGGUGAUCGGAAGUUUCCGACUGAGAGGCUGGGUAUGACCGCUGGAAGUCCGCAGACUCGACCAGUUCCGUGCGUCCGUGGGAAAUUGUCUCCCCAGCUAAAAGCUAUGGUUCACCUCGAGUUCUCGUUUUCUCCUCAGCUUUUUCCCAGUUAUCAGCUAGCUAAGAAUGAGAUACGAGUGAAUUGAGUCUGGCCUCUUUUUGAGCGUACUUUGAAUGACAAAGCCAACCGACCAUAUUAUUAGACAAUUACGUUUUUGACAAAACUCUGUCAUUGGAAAAUAUGCCGUUGGAAUUAGAUGGAAACACUAAACAGUCAAAGGUCAUCUUACAUGGAAUCCUCUGUAAAACCUGAUUGUAACAUGAAAUAGCUUGUUACUCGCAAAACUUAAUCUUCCAGAGCAGAUUGGGAGGCAGCAUAAUGGCACAACACCUCCACCUGUCACCAAUCCUUCACUGCCUGUCCAUAUUCAUUCUGGCACGAAGAGCCCCCUCUGCCUCAACCUGCACCUCCAAAAUAUCAUCUGCUUCAAAGGUACAGUCUGUACCAUAAAAGCCUCCAGGUACAGUCUGUACCAUAAAAGCCUCCAUGAUGAAUGCUCCAUUUUUUGCUAAAAUAGCCAGUUUACUAUACUCCAUAGAUUAUGCCUACUCUAUGUUUCCAGUCUUGCAAAUCAUCUCCAAUCCUCAUCAUUAUUUCCUCAUGUUUGUAAACAAUUUCUAUUUUGUUGUUGUACCUGUCAUAUUGAUAUGGAGUUUAUUUCUAACUAAUAAUGCACAUUUCUAUGAACUGUUGGUACACACUAUUACACACGAAAUUUCGAAAAUGUUUAUUUAUUUAUUUAUUGAAUUUCCACCAGUCAAAAAUAGCAAGCAUCACUCUUCCAAUUAUCCUGCACUUUUAUACAAUAUUCUGUAAAUAAUUUUCUUACAAGGAAAAUUACUGUGUAAUUUAUUAUUUAUGGUUAGACACUGUGAUAUAAUAAUAAUAUAAUAACAAUUAACCCAGUUUCUCUGAGAAAAUGUAUCAAUAACAAAAAAAUAAUAGAAACAUUCCCUUUCUUUUGCUUGGUCUUACAUGAUCAUGUCUAUUAAAUCAGUGUUCUUUUGGGACCACAUCCA